GCCAUAGCUCAAUGGCAAAGCCUCUGCUUAGCAUGAAGAAGGUCCCAGAUUCAAUCCCAGGUAUCUCCA